rnacentral:rRNA from 1 species
ACAGCCGUACCAUGCUGAAUAUACCGGUUCUCGUUAGAUCACUGAAGUCAAGCAUCAUUGGGCGCGGUCAGUACUUGGGUGGGUGACCACCUGGGAAUACCGCGUGCCGUU